CCCGCGGCGACGCGGGAUCUGAAGGAAGCCGGCGGCAAACCUCCGGCCCGACGAACAGGAACCCCAUAGGAGGCUGUCCUUGCUUGGAUGAGUUCGCAACACAAAUAGUCCUUGCUGCCGAAGGGCAGGGCGGUAAAUGGGGCGGGUGGAGGGAGGGAAAGGAAGCGUA
rnacentral:ncRNA from 1 species